UACGGAGGAUCCAAGCGUUAUCCGGAUUUAUUGGGUUUAAAGGGUGCGCAGGCGGGAGAUUAAGUCGGCGGUGAAAUUUUGCAGCUUAACUGUAACAGUGCCGUUGAUACUGUUUGGCUAGGAUUUGGUUGUAGUGUGCGGAAUGUGUGGUGUAGCGGUGAAAUGCUUAGAUAUCACACAGAACACCGAUUGCGAAGGCAGCACACUAAGUCAUUAUUGACGCUGAGGCACGAAAGUGUGGGGAUCAAACAGGAUUAGAUA
rnacentral:rRNA from 1 species